rnacentral:rRNA from 1 species
GACGAACGCUGGCGGCGUGCUUAACACAUGCAAGUCGAACGGAACUUGUUGGAUCAAGACUUCGGUCAAGUGAAUUCAAGUUUAGUGGCGGACGGGUGAGUAACGCGUGAGGAACCUGCCUUUCAGAGGGGGACAACAGUUGGAAACGACUGCUAAUACCGCAUAAUGCGUAGAGAUCGCAUGGUCUUUACGCCAAAGAUUUAUCGCUGAAAGAUGGCCUCGCGUCUGAUUAGCUAGUUGGUGAGGUAACGGCCCACCAAGGCGACGAUCAGUAGCCGGACUGAGAGGUUGACCGGCCACAUUGGGACUGAGACACGGUCCAAACUCCUACGGGAGGCAGCAGUGGGGAAUAUUGCACAAUGGGCGAAAGCCUGACCCAGCAACGCCGCGUGAGCGAAGAAGGCCUCGGGUUGUAAAGACGUCUGUCCUUAGGAAGAUAAUGAGGUACCUGAGAGGAAGCCCGGCUAACACGUGCCAGCAGCCGCGGU